rnacentral:rRNA from 1 species
AGUGAACGCUGGCGGUAGGCCUAACACAUGCAAGUCGAACGGCAGCACAGUAAGAGCUUGCUCUUACGGGUGGCGAGUGGCGGACGGGUGAGGAAUACAUCGGAAUCUACUUUUUCGUGGGGGAUAACGUAGGGAAACUUACGCUAAUACCGCAUACGACCUACGGGUGAAAGCAGGGGAUCUUCGGACCUUGCGCGAUUGAAUGAGCCGAUGUCGGAUUAGCUAGUUGGCGGGGUAAAGGCCCACCAAGGCGACGAUCCGUAGCUGGUCUGAGAGGAUGAUCAGCCACACGGGAACUGAGACACGGUCCAGACUCCUACGGGAGGCAGCAGUGGGGAAUAUUGGACAAUGGGCGCAAGCCUGAUCCAGCCAUACCGCGUGGGUGAAGAAGGCCUUCGGGUUGUAAAGCCCUUUGUUGGGAAAGAAAAGCAGCAGGUUAAUACCCCGCUGUUCUGACGGUACCCAAAGAAUAAGCACCGGCUAACUUCGUG